UCCGUAGGCGGGUAAUUAAGUCAGAGGUGAAAUCCCACAGCUUAACUGUGGAACUGCCUUAGAUACUGGUUAUCUUGAGUUUUAGUGAAGUAGAUAGAAUGUGUAGUGUAGCGGUGAAAUGCAUAGAUAUUACACAGAAUACCGAUUGCGAAGGCAGUCUACUAACUAACAACUGACGCUAAUGGACGAAAGCGUGGGGAGCGAACAGGAUUAGAUACCAUGGUAGUCC
rnacentral:rRNA from 1 species